UACGGGGGGGGCAAGCGUUGUUCGGAAUUACUGGGCGUAAAGGGCUCGUAGGUGGCCAACUAAGUCAGACGUGAAAUCCCCAGGCUCAACUUGGGAACUGCGUCUGAUACUGGAUGGCUUGAAUUCGGGAGAGGGAUGCAGAAUUCCAGGUGUAGCGGUGAAAUGCGUAGAUAUCUGGAGGAAUACCGGUGGCGAAGGCGGCAUCCUGGACCGAGAUUGACACUGAUGAGCGAAAGCUAGGGGAGCGAAACGGG
rnacentral:rRNA from 1 species